rnacentral:lncRNA from 1 species
GAAAAUGUUUUCGGAAUCCAUGACAAGCAAGGCCACAAUGAGGAGGUAUACAAUAACAGAACAAAAAGACAAUCUACAGAAUGGAAGAAGAUAUUUGUACAUUAUAUACCCAAUAAGGAGUUAUUACCUCAAAUACAUAAUUUAUACAACUGAACACAAAAAAAUCCAAAUACUCUAAUUAGAAAAUGGACAGAGUGUCUGAAUAGAAAUUUCUCCAAAGACAUAGAAGUGUUCAACAGAUACAUGAACAUAUGCUCAAUGUCAUUAAUUGUUAGGGAAAUUUUUAAAAAAUUGAAAAAA